rnacentral:rRNA from 1 species
AGCAGCCGCGGUAAUUCCAGCUCCAAUAGCGUAUAUUAAAGUUGUUGCAGUUAAAAAGCUCGUAGUUGAAUUUCGGGAUCAAGGAAUCGGUCAUGCCUUGGUAUGUACUGGUUUUAUUGGUUCUCACCUUCUAAAGAACCAUAAUGUCAUUCAUUUGAUGUUAUGGGGAAUUAGGACUGUUACCUUGAAAAAUUAGAGUGUUUAAAGCAGGCUUACGCUUGAAUACGUUAGCAUGGAAUAAUGAAAUAGGACAUCAGAUUCUAUUUUG